AAAGAGACUGCCGGUGUUAAACCGGAGGAAGGUGGGGAGUGACGUCAAGUCCUCAUGGCCUUUAUGCUUAGGGCUACACACGUGCUACAAUGGGUGGUACAAAGAGAAGCCAACUCGCGAGAGCGCGCCAAUCUCAAAAAGCCAUCCUCAGUUCGGAUUGGAGUCUGCAACUCGACUCCAUGAAGUUGGAAUCGCUAGUAAUCGCGGAUCAGCAUGCCGCGGUGAAUACGUUCCCGGGCCUU
rnacentral:rRNA from 1 species